ACGGAGGGUGCGAGCGUUAUUCGGAAUUACUGGGCGUAAAGCGCGUGCAGGCGGGUAGGGAAGGAUGAUGUGAAAGCACUGGGCUUAAACCGGGAAAUGCAUUCGAAACUAUCUUUCUUGAGUACUGGAGAGGGAGGGUGAAUUCCCGGUGUAGAGGUGAAAUUCGUAGAGAUCGGGAGGAAUACCAGUGGCGAAGGCGCCCUUCUGGACGGUUACUGACGCUGAGACGCGAAAGCGUGGGGAGCAAACAG
rnacentral:rRNA from 1 species